UCCCAGAGAGCAUUAGUCAUGAGGAGUGAAUAUCUAUCUAUCCUGGCUGUGCAUGUUUUGUGAGACAGCUAACCAAAAAAGUCGCAGCAGAGUUCUCCACCAAGGUAGACCAAGGCUUGGCUGUCCCCAUCUUCCACUGACAUCUUAGGACAAGCAAGAGUGAUUCAGGUUCCAGAUUCAAGGUCUCCUUUCAGGAAAAGAGGUCAUUCCACCUUCAUCUAUAAGAUGACAUUCUAGCUCAAUCAGCUGCAGCACUACUUAUUUAAGACAAGAGAAGAAGGUGAAAGGAGAACAAGGCAAUUACAAGGACAUAAAUACCACAUUUCUAUCUGUGGAGGAAGUGCUGCAUAAGAAACGUGCUCAGAGAAAGGAGCUCAGUGCCCAAGAGGAACAAGAAGGACAGACCUCACACAAUGACACAUCCUAGAUAAGUAUCACCUUAAACAAUGACGUUGGGACUUCUUCCCUAAUCAAUCGUAUCUGGCUUCCAAAUUUAAAUACAGUUUUAUAUAAGCAA